GACAGAGGUGCCAAGCGUUAGGCGGAAUCACUGGGCUUAAAGCGUGUGUAGGCGGAAUGGUAAGUACCUUGUGAAAUCCCACGGCUCAACCGUGGAACUGCUGGGUAUACUGCUUUUCUUGAGCCACUUAGGGGCUGUCGGAACAAACGGUGGAGCGGUGAAAUGCGUAGAUAUCUGGAGGAACACCGGUGGCGAAGGCGGCAUUCUGGACCAUUACUGACGCUGAGGAGCGAAAGCCAGGGGAGCAAACGGG
rnacentral:rRNA from 1 species